UGUGUUGAAGUGGGGAUUUUCUCUUGUUAUGUUGUAUGUGAGUCUUACUGUUAAGCCUAUGUGAGUUUUAGUGUUUUGCAUGAAUACUGUGUGUGCCUCAGUUUCCCUGUGUGCUGCACCAAUAUCUCAGUGUCAAGGUUCCUCACCCCAC